UGAUUAGACUCUGCUCAGGUCACCACGGUCAGUGCAGAGAGUUUUUCUCUCACACCAUUCCAGGAAAGCAUUCUCCGUUUUGGUGUUUUAGAUAUGUGUGGUUUGUGUUCACGUCUAGUUUUUUUUUUUUUGUUUGUUCAAACUUGCCGAUUGUUGGAUUGCAAUCUUCCCUCAUCAGGACACAGGCUGAAUGUUGACAGAAGCAAUGGGGAUGACAAGAUGUUCAGCACUCUCGUAUCAAAAGUUUAACGUCAGGAGAAUGCUGCAACACUGUUUCGCUGCGAGGAUCCAGCAACGUCUUGUGGACGACAAAACAUCCCCUGACUUUGAUUCGGCAUGGCGUUACAUAACGCAGAAACAAGUGAUCGGGGGCGGAGUUCCUGAGACAGAGACACCAUUCACCAACCAUCAAAAUGAUUCUGAAGCCAAUAUUUUAAGUGAUCCGUCGCCUGGAGCUGAAUGAGGACAGGAGGAGCAUGGGAGGAGGGGAUGCACACAGGGAGAAAAGUAAGAUGGGAGGAGAAGGCACCAGGACGAACUUGGAAACAGAAAACAUAUGCAGAGGAUGCAUGGUGGGUCAGGAUCACAAAACCGUAUGGUCUGACGGUUAUUCUUCUUUCAUUAUUUGUUAAAAUGUCGAAAAAUUCUUAGAAAUGCUCAUCACAAAAUGUCACAUUUUCAAAUGGCUUAUUUUGCCAAGAGCCCAAAACCCAAAGACUUUCUUAUAAAUGACAAGAAAAGCAGCAGAUCCUCAUGGUUAAGAAGCAGGAGCCAGCGAAUGUUUGCCUUUUUUACCCUUAAAUUAAUUAAAUGAUUAAUCAAUUGUAAGCAUAGUUUAGGAUGAAUUUUCUUUUGAUCGACUUGAUCGAUCCACUCAUCGCUGCAGCUCUAUUGGGAGCUACUUCAAACAAGGCCACGGGUCAGAUGUUAGCCUGAGGUAACUCUUUAGUGUAACCAUCAUGAAUAAAAUGUAAACAGAUAAUUAAACUUUAGUUAAUAGUUAUUUCACUGUUAACAAACUUUGUAAUGCUUUAUAUUUACUAGAGUUUAUAAGCAUCAGUUGCUUCUUUAUAAUGUCUACUGGUGACUUGUUAAAGUGACUUUUAUGCAGUCACAGAAGUUGACAGAAGAAAACUCUUGUGUUUUUAUGGUGGUCAAAUACAACCUGCUCUUGUGUGAACUCUGACCUCCUUCAAGCAAACAGAAAACCUUCCCUACUGGGGUCAAUAAAAUGUUUCAUCAUCAUCAUCAUCUCAUUCUUUGAGUGUCUGUCCCGCUUUCUGAGAGCUGUGAUGUAAGCGCGGUGCCAGCGGUGCCGCAGGGAGCCGGCUGGGUUGCUGGGCCAUCUCUGAUGUAACACCUCAGGGAGCCGAGUCUCACCUUGUUUCUGAUCUGGGCCAACCCAUUUAGAAUGGGACACUUUCACCCACAUUAUUAGAGCAGUUAUACAAUGGAGAAAGUGAUGCAAACAUAGGAUGAUCAACGCUUACGUGUAGAAACACUAUUCCGAUAUCAAAGUGACUCAGGGAGAGAAAAUCUCCAAAAUCUCCGUGGAAGAUGACAGUUCUCAGCGAGCGAGUGUCACUGACGACAAAUGGAGGCUCGAGUUUGGAGCGUCAACAAAGAGUCAGAUUUUUUGUGAGCUCCUGUGACAUUUGACUUAUUUUGAGGCAACAUGCCCUGAUUGGAAACACAAAGUCUACUCGGUUUUAAAGUGUCAAGCAACUUUUUCAGGUGUGUCGAAUAAGCUCGACUACAGGCAGACGGCCUCAUUCAGGUUAGCCAACACGACGACUAA